AUUUCAUGAUGAGGGCAUCUUCGUAAUAGUUCUUUAAACCUUUCCUAUGCCUCAUGCAAGGACUCUUCAUCCUUUUUUUAGAAGCUAGUGAUCUCGUUCCUCAACUU
rfam:Gossypium arboreum cultivar AKA8401 contig_14061_1, whole genome shotgun sequence.